rnacentral:misc_RNA from 1 species
AUAGUGCAUAUUUCGUAAGAUUUUCAUCGACACAUUUUUAAGUUAACCGAGUUUGUUUCACAUGGUUAUUUCUAAGAGUUGCAUGAUGAAUGUCAUAUAGUCCCCGCAACAUUUGCCGUUCAAUGAUAUGUUUGUGAUUGUGUCAGGUCUUUGGAUAGUAAUUCGGUAUUUUAUUUAUUCCAUAACUCGUAAAGAUACUGCAGAUAAGGCCGUGCAAGUCGAACUGUGUGAAGAGAAAGUGAAACCAAUUAUUGUUGAAAACCACACCAGGUCAUGUAGAACUUUAAACAGUGUUUCUGUGGACGAUUGCACUCCUCUGUGUUGCCAUCGACAGAAGUGUAAAGUUAAAUCUGUCUGUGUUGGAAGAAAGGAAAACAAGAAGAGACCUGCCCACUAUUGCAACAAGUCAUCAGAAUUAAUCCAUACCACACAAGAACCUAAAAUGGCAGAAGCUCCUACAAAUUUUACAGAAAUUCGCAAAGCGAACCCAAACGCUUCCACCUGGCUGCUGAACGCCAUGAACAAACCAGCUCAGACAACGACCAAUCAAAUGAAAGAAUGGCUUGACCACAUUGAAGUCAAAUGGUUUGAUGAAGCCAAUGCGAACAGGGCAGCAGUUAAUUCUCAGGUGUCGGAAAUGCUGACCCGUCACUUUGGAGCGGCAUCCAAUCCUUAUACAGUGUGUAUAUAUAUGAUCGAGCGAUGUCGAGACUUCUACACAGGUAAAACUACAACACUCUCGUUCUAUAUCAUGAAAGAGUUUGAGCGAUGGACCAGACAUACCAAGAAUAAAAUGGACGAUCUGUUGACACAGGAUAUUCGGUUUCACGCCUUCCUCAUGGCCACAGAACGUCACAUGACAUUGUUUGAUAUGGCCGUGAAAGCAUUUAAGCUCAGACACAUAGGAAAUGACUAUUUUCUUCCCGAAAUUAAAAAGUUCUUGGAGAAAGGAAAACACAAAGAGGCCUGUCACUGUGCUGGGAAGCUGGGAUUGCAGGGACACUUCUCCAUGGAAGAGAUAAUACUUCCGCUGCUUCUCCAGGACAAGGUCAACCUGGUGGAGUCGUACGUGAUCGGUAAUCCCGAGCAACAGAAGGCUGUGGUACAGCUGCUGGACCACCUGUGUGACCGAGAGACGGACAUCAACAGGGUCAUCGAGUCGGCCGGGGUUCAGAAUGUGAAGAGAGACAAGCUUCAGAAAAAGACGCUCAGUAAGCUGGCUGUCCGACUGAUGAAACUGUACCAGAUCCCACAAGAGCACUGUCCGAACAUUUCCAAUGCCCGAGGUGUUGGAGCUCUUAAAUACCUGAUGUACAAAAGAUACAUAGAGAAAACGUUUGGAUCUGGUAGCUGGGACGAAAUGGUGAAGAAUGCAGUGGGGGAGAAUGACUUCUUGAAGGAACAACUGGUAGAACAGCUCAUGUGUUACAACGAUCUCCCAGAAGCUGCCAAGUGGGCCAUGAUAUAUCACCUUGGUGAUGACAAACUGCCCCAUCCUGUCCGGGAAGCCAAGGAGAGGCUGGCCAGUGAGCAACCCGGAGAUGGCGCCACAGGAGGGUGGAAUGAUACAGGGGGAGAGAACUGGGAUGAUGACUGCUACACGGAGGAGGAUCUGAAGAAGUACUACCAUCCCCUGCGGGUUCCACACGAACAGAUCACGCUGGUCGACACUCGUGACAAGCUCAACGCGUGUGUGGCCAGACUUAGUGUGCCCGGCACAGUGAUUGGCAUCGACUCGGAGUGGAAACCUGCUUUUGCCGCACAGCCCCAGAGAGUGGCCCUGAUGCAGUUUGCUGUGACGGACCAGGUUUAUCUGAUCGACUGCGCUACGCUCAGGUCCACACUCACAGACCAAGAUUGGGCCGACUUCACGAGUCGCAUUUUCUGCAAUGAAGCCACGGUGAAGCUAGGUUAUGGCCUUGAGACCGACCUGUCCAUGUUCACCAAGACCUUCCCCAGCAUGAAGGAGCCACUGAUGAGGAUGAAGAGGGUCGUCAAUGUGGAGGACCUCAGCAAGCAGAUAUUUGGGGAUGGCCCAGUUGUUCUGGAUGAGUCUUCAUUCUUGUCUGAUGGCGAAGACAGAGGGUCUACAGGACGCCAGGAUGUGGAGGAGGGAGAAGUCGCCGUGAAGCUGUAUACUUUCUCCAAGAAGGAAGAGCGUGGCUUGAGUGAGCUGGUCAGACAGUGUUUGGGAAAACCCUUGUGCAAAGUGGAGCAGAUGUCCGACUGGGAGAAACGCCCACUACGCCAGGCACAGAUUGUGUAUGCAGCUCUUGACGCCUAUGUCCUGCUCGAGGUGUACAAAGUGCUGACCUCACAUGCACGGCAGUCAGGGCUGCAGGUUGACCUCGAGCCCCCUGUGUGUGCCAAGUGGUCGAAGCUUUCAAAAACAGACAAGAAGAAAGCAAAAGCAGCUGGGAAGAGGCUUGAACCGAGGGCACCGCCAGAAGCGUCCCGCCCCGCCCAGUCCGGCCCCCCGAUCUCCCCCCACCAGCUGAGGGUGGUCGUGGACACCAUGCUGCAAGGCCUCGGCAAGCACCUGCGCAGUUGUGGUGUCGAUGUCAUCAUCUUAGAGGCCAAUGACGACCAUGAGAAGGCUAUAGUGAUUUGUAAGGAGCAAGGCAGGAUAGCUCUGUCCAGUGGCUACCCUUACAAGAUGAUUCGGUCCCACGUGGGAGAGGCGAUGUGCUACAAUGUGGUCUGUCAAAAGGCAGGCGAUCAGGCCACGGAGGUCCUCAAACACUUCAAUGUCAAGGUCACACAGCAGGAUAUUUUCAGUCGAUGUCAGGUCUGUAAUGGAGAUGAGUACCUUGAAAUCCCAGCCUCGGACCUAAAGAUACUUUACGACAGGAAACAACAGCUCGAAUAUCAGAAAAGUCGAACUAAGACGACAAACAAUGUAGCCCUGUCUUCUAUGUUGGGCAGCAUGGCGGCCGACGGUGCCCACUUCCUCACACAGUACAGCGUGGACUGGGGCACGGUUACCGUGGUAACGAGCGGGGCUCCGCUACAGGUGGAAGCCGUACACAAGUCUAAGUUUGAGAGUGUGGAGUUGUUUUACUGUUGUGCGAACUGUGGCAAGGUGUUCUGGGAAGGAAGUCACUUCAGUCGCGUGUGUGACCAGUUCUCCCAUGUGCUCUCGCUCGAUGACAAUCAGACUGUGUACGAUCAGCUCAGAAAGCAGAGCAGCUAGAUGUUGAACCUCUUGUCCCUGGUAUUUACUUCAACACUAACUCAAGGAGGCAUGGAGUGUCUGACGCUUGUGAAAUAUGAUGAGGAAUUGCUGCAUCUCAAAUUAAUAAUAAACACAGUGAACCCCUAUUAUUCCUGAUGGUAGGGUUCUCAGUGAAAUUGUCCAGAUUUACACAUUUUUGGGUUAGUGAAAUCAUUGGUACGAAUGGUCCCAUGUUAACUGUUUUUGUGUCAGUUUCCUCUUAGCACAUCUUGGAAGUUGAGUCUCGGGUAAAAUAAUUUAACCUUCACUUAACCGUUUUCCAGUCAUGUAACCUAUAAUAAAGCAAAGGGAGGUUCAUUGAUGGUCCAGUAAACGUUUCAGACCAUGAGUUGAUGGUCCAGUAAACGUUUCAGACCACGAGUUGAUGGUCCAGUAAACGUUUCAGACCACGAGUUGAUGGUCCAGUAAACGUUUCAGACCACGAGUUGAUGGACAAGUAUACGUUUCAGACCACGAGUUGAUGGUCCAGUAAACGUUUCAGACCACGAGUUGAUGGACAAGUAUACGUUUCAGACCAUGAGUUGAUGGAUCAGUAAACGUUUCAGACCAUGAGUUGAUUGUCCAUUAAACGUUUCAGACCGUGAGUUGAUGAACAAGUAAAUGUUUCAGACCACUAGUAGAUGGACUAGUAAAUUUUUCAGACAACGAGUUGAUGGACUAGUUAACUUUUGAGACCACUAGUUGAUGGACUAGUUGUCGUUUCAGACCACUAGUUGAUGGACUAGUAAACGUUUCAGACCACAAAUUGAUGGACUAGUAAACAUGGUAAAUGUUUCAGACCACGAGUUGAUGGACUAGUAAACGUUUCAGAUCACGAGUUAAUGGACAUGGUUGAUGCAUGUCAUUGUAUUUUAAUUGUGUAGAUCAAUUCUUGUGAUGUCAAUCACUGGAUUGUCUGGUCCUGACUUGAUUAUUUAGCUGCAAUAUUGCUGAGUGCAGCCUUAAAAAAAAGCAAACAAAUAGUUGAUGGACCAGAUAACGAUACUGACCACAAGAAGACAAGGUGGUAAAUAUUUAUGAUGGGCUGGUGAAAUAUUUCCGACACUAACCAGCAUGAUCACGUAACAACUGACAUGGUAGUAAUUCACAAUAUGCACAACAAUGCACUUGCAUGAAGACUCCUGCCAGCCAUUAUCUGUGAACUCCGGAUAAAUCUUGUUGGUUGUGUCACACAAGUUCCAUUUGGGAGAACAUUUCUUUUUGUGUUUUGCGCGACAGUUGGACUGGUAUACAUGGUAUAUGAAAUGUAUCAGUGUCACGAGUCAAUCAGGUGUCCAUGCAUUACUUGUUUCCCCUGACGAUAUGAUACACAAUAUGCCUACCCAUAUGUCGAUUCAUGUUCAAUCUCAUUUAAAUCAAAUCUUAGUUCUUGCUACCGCUAAACAAAGAUCUGAGGACAUCCCAUUACGGGUCACGUCAGACUGACUUUUCGCGAACUUCGACCGACCAAUGGAAUGACUGACAA